UAGUAUGGGAUUAUGAGGAUAAAGUUUAUAUAAGGAUUAUGAGGAUUAGAAAUAAAGCCUAAUUUUCUACACACUACAGGCACACGAACACGUAAACAAAGCGGAAGUUCUCUGAGCUACCCCUCAAAAGUCGGUCCUUCCGACGCAAGACAUUGCUGUGACACGCGCGGAAGUGCGCACGCCGCGCGGUCAGCUUCCGCCGCUUUGACCUGCGGAGCCCCGGACUAAUUACUUACAUUAAGGCGCUCCAUACAACUGCGACGCAUACGAUUCAAUUGUAGAAUGAUGCAAAUAAGAUGAAAGCCUACACGACGUCCUCUAGCAAAGGAAAUCGUCUAAGAGCAGUUUUCGGUGACAGCAAUUAAGGAUGGCCAGAGGACAUCUUUGUGUGUGUAUUUGUUAGUCAAAUUCACACUCGACUGCGGAGAUAAGGAGUUGUAAUUAUUUUGGGUACCUGUCGCGUGACACAAGGGCAUGGGCCUCGGUGACCGUUUCCGCCACUUUGUCAAACUGCCCCCGCGCACUGGAGGGUUAUGACGACACAAUCACGGAACUCGCAUUAUGUUUGGAGGCUUUCAGACGCAAACAAAAAUACAUUCACCCCUCUAUCUCAUUCCAUUUGCUAUGAUAUAUCGCUCGGUGUAUUUCUUAAAUUAUAUUUAGAUCAUUAAGAUUUCAAUAGAUGAAUUCCUUAAAAUAUUGUACACACUUUUGAAUAAGCAACAGAUUUAGUUACUAUUACAGAGAUAAUAAACAAAAACUCAUCGCAAGUAUUGAUCUUAAGCUAGCAGAUAAAGGCGCAGCAAGAAGUAGUUUGUAAAUUAUAAAGUGUUGAGUCGUCAUUAAAAGCACGUUCGGCGAGAGGACAGCAGUAACAUUAAGAAACCGUUCUCGGACCUAGAGCGGGUGCUUAUUUGCUUUAGCUUUCAACUCCCCUUUACUUGAUUGUUUGCUUGAUACAGAGUGUUCCAAAGGCUUGUAUAAUAAAGCCUUAUUAACCUUGGGCAAUUUUAGUUAGUGACUAAACGCUUUUCGUUCCUUACAAUUUUAAAAAAAUACCCAAUCUAUAGUUAAUUUAAGCAUUGUAGUCUAUAUUAAAAAUGGUCGUUCAUUUCAUGAGUUGUAUCAGCCUGUAUAUGAAUUUGAGAAAGUAAAAUCAAGUAUAGGUGAGGAGGUGGGGUCAAGUGGUCGAGGUGUUUAAACCUCGUCUUAUGAGAGGUGAAUUUGCCCUUUCCCCCUGCCCCCAACAAGUGGACAUAAUGACCAAAUGUUAUUCCUUCUCUGCCUCACUUUGUUUAUCUUAACACUUUACUAUUUGUUGAUGUUUCAGUUAAUGUGCGCUGUACAAUGUUCGACUAAUGUA